rnacentral:rRNA from 1 species
UACAGAGGUGGCAAGCGUUGUUCGGAAUUACUGGGCGUAAAGGGCGCGUAGGCGGCCUUCUAAGUCAGACGUGAAAUCCCCGGCUUAACCUGGGAACUGCGUCUGAUACUGGGAGGCUUGAGUAUGGGAGAGGGAUGUAGAAUUCCAGGUGUAGCGGUGAAAUGCGUAGAUAUCUGGAGGAAUACCGGUGGCGAAGGCGGCAUCCUGGACCAUAACUGACGCUGAGGCGCGAAAGCUAGGGGAGCAAACGGG